UAUGGAUGUGAAAGGCUUGAAUCAUUAUCCGACUUAAGACACAUGGAUAGAUGUUAAGGCUUUCUCUUUCUUGACAAACAGUGUUUUCUUUGGCCAUGACAAAUAGUUCUUGAUCUGAUGUUACUCCCUGAACCUUCACCGUUUUGUUAUGCAAAAGUAUAUCCUAUCUGGGAUCCUUUUUUUUUUUUUUUUUUUUUUUUGUAUAUUUGGCAUUUUAGUUGUUGCUACUAAGAAUGGAUUUUGGAUUAUGAUUAAUGAGUUGUCAGUCUGAUUUUUCUUUAGUAUCUGUAUUGAUUUAUCUGAUUGUUUGAUGGAAGAUUUUUGGAUAUGUGAUGACGAGAUUAUAGAUAAAAUUAUAUCAAAAAGUAGAAAUAAUUAAUGUGUAAGGUUUGUUGUGCUAAGAUUUUACCCCUUAAUUCUUACCAAUCCCUGUCUGUAUGAUUUUAGAGCUUCCAGGAGUAUGCUGUAUGCACUAUGCCUCUCUACUCCUAGGAGUAGAGGUACGGUCUGGUGACAACCAUAAAUUUUAAUGUCCACGAACCCUGCUUGAUACGUUUGGUCUGGAUAUCUAGGAGUCUGCUCUAAAAUAAAAUGAAAUUAUUAAAUGCCAACUGUUCAGAUUUAUGAAAUCAAAGUGCCAUUGUUAGCAUAUACGUAUCUUUGGCUGGGCACUUUGCGGAUGAUGCUCAAUUUAUUAAUAUAUUUUCCAGAAUAAAUCUUCCUCUCUCUUCCUUUAACAUUGUUUGCACAUUGCAGGAACCAGAGGAUGGCCGAAGACCAAUCAGUUGUUGGGAGGAGACGUAUUUACUAUGAUCAGAAUGGAAGUGAGGCACUGGUGUGCAGUGACAGCGAGGAAGAGAUGACAGAACCUGAUGAAGAGAAACAUGAAUUCUCUAAGGAGGAAGAUCAUAUUAUAUGGUAAGGUCAUUUAGGAGCUAGCCUGAAUUAUAUAUUAAAAAUUAUUGAUUAAUAUCUAUUUCAACCAAUUAUGUUGGCAUACCCUGGUCGGUUUGAAAAGCUUAUACAGAUGUUUUUAACAUGCAAUGUGUUAGUAAGGUAGACAGAAAAGAAGCUUGAAAGGCUCUAAAUUAUACCUGCUGUAUUGGCCAUGUGCAUUUGCUUGGCCUUCAUCUUUACAGUAAAUUAUUAAAAUGUGAGACAUGUGAGAACAGGAAGGUAAAAAUAGUCAUUAUUUUGUGAAACUAAUUUUUUGGAUCGUUGUUCGGUAGCAAGAUAAAAUAAUAUUAGGAGAUUAAACAGGAAUAACCUAAUUGUAGAGAAUCACCAUAGCCAGAAAUGAAUUAUUACCGGCUAAAAAUGAAAAAGAAAACUCAUGGAGUAGGCAUAGGUCAGUAGAAAUCUGGAAAAAAAAUAGAAAUACCAAGAAAUGGCCUCCUUCUAGAUUAUGGAAGAAACUAGCUAGUAGCUACUGGAACACUAUGCAAUGAAGAAAGUUUCGAAAGUUGCGGCAACUAUACCCCAUCCUUUGCUAAAGGUAGGAAAUGAGAUUUACAUUAUGUUUUCUUAUUUAUCAGAGAUCAGUUCUCAAGGGAACCACCACAACUUAGUACCCGAUGGAAAUCAAUUUCCAGGACAGCAUGAUUAAGUUCCGAUGCACUCACUAUUUUGUAAUAAUUGACCUAGCUCAGAUAAUUUUUCAAAUUGAAAGUGUCGGGUAAGAUUACCAGGAAAUAAUCCUAGUUUCCAGUUUUUAUGAUCUCUGUUUGAUUGCUUAGUAUUCAAUUAUCUUUAUCCUUGGCUGCUUUCUAAACAAUCUAUAUGUUUUACUAAAUCUUAUAGGACAAUUGCCGAAGAACAUGAACUAAGUGAUGAAGUGCUGAACGUCUUGACACAUUAUAUUAGUGGAACCUCUUCUGAAAUUAUGGUACACACUGCCCUGUAUUAAUGAUUCUUUUAGUAUGUUAAAAUUAUUAUAAACAAAACAAGUAAAUGUUGUUACAACUGUUACCGAUAUUUUAAAUUAAAAUACCAUUAAUCAUUUUCAGUUUAAACUUUGAAUUUGUUAUUGAUUCAAUCAUGUUAACCGCUUAGAGAUGUUUGCAAUAAGCAGGAACGCUACAACGUGCUCAAGAGAAGCCACGAGGAAAAACAAAGACCGAAUCCCAGUUCUGAGGAAAAAAGGCUCGACACAAGCAUGUAUCUAGAAAAAAGCCUUGGUGCUAAUUUGGAUUCUCUAGAUAAUCUUUUCUGUCGUCGUUGUUUGGUACUUGACCUCUGACCCUGUUCAGUUUAGUGUUCAAGAGAUCCACUGAAUAUUGAUAAUUAUUUAUAAUAUUUCAUUUUGAUGUCAUUUUAACAGGUAUUCGACUGUCGACUGCACGGUUGUUCUCAAGGUCUAGUUAAUUCUGUAAGUGUUGCAUUCUUUCUUACAUUUAUGUGAAUCAUGUAUAUUCAUAUGCUAACCUUUAAAACAUACUGUUGGACAGACUGAAAAACAGCCAUAUGCAUCUGAAUCUGAAGACGAUGGCAAACCAUGCAGUGACCAGUGCUAUCUCCAGGUAGGUCUUUUACUUUGGAUAUUGAUAUGUAUGAAAUACUUAUGCUGACUUAAAUCAGUUCUGUAAAUUUAUAAAUUAAAUAUCGUAAUGUACUUUCUGGUAGCAGUUUAGUAGUCAUCCUAGAGAAAGGAACUUUAAGAGAUGUCGAAUGAAAUUUGUCACUUCUAGAAGCUGACCCCUUGGAGAGUGCAAUUAUUAGUGUAAGAUUCAUACUUUCAAGGAAAGAGAUCUGCUAUGGGAUUUUAAGGGGUGAAAAGCCUGAAGAUGGAAAAUGUUGUUCCCCUAGCCUGAGGGGUCGAUUAAGUGUUUGAUCUUAGAAAAUGCCAUUUGAUGAUCUAAGAUUUGCAACAAAAACAACGUAUGCUAAAAAGAUUGACACUUCACAUGUUUACACUUGCACAUUGGAAAUGGCAUUAGGUGCUUUAUCUUACAUGUACUGUAGGAAUGAACCCCAAGAUUAUUGAAUCUUAGGCUUGGUUUAUGUAGUUUGUGAUAAUUAAGGUCUAUUUUCCUCCUUUACGUUGCAUGUUAGAUAUAGUAUUAGUCUGGGAGUUUCUCCUCUGUUGAAUUAGAUAUUAUUAGGGCAGACCCCUAUUUUCCUGUAAUACAUUUUUUUAGUGUAUGGUAAUUAAAAGUUCAAAUUAUGUAAAAAAAAAUUUGAAGAUUGAGAAAUUCGAAGAAAAUGCGAGCUGAAUUUGGUUACUUUGGACCUUUUAGUAACAAAGUGAACUGCAUGGAAGGCCUGAGACAUUUGUAUUUGAUUCUCUGACAGUUUCCUGCUUUAUAAUAUUACUCUUCAUUAGCAUGAUCGAAGUAUUGAGAUAUGCUGACCAUAGAGUGUUAAAAAUUUAACCGUCAAAUUGCUAAUAUGGUAUCUGAUACAUGCCUUCAUGAUAACAAUUCCCGAGGCACGUGGCCUUCAAAUUGCUAAUAUUUAUCAUUAAUUUUUAUGCACUUGAAUUUAUGUAUUACAUCUCUUGAAUAUCAUUACACGAACAUGCUUCCUUAUAUCUCCAGUUGUACAUGACUACAUAUUGUUCUUCCAUCGUAAAUAAGAUUAUUAUUAUCUUGCAUGCUUUUCUGAGUAAAGUUUUGCUUUUCUGUAUGUCUUUCUGAUUAUGCAGUUAAGAAUUGCCAAAGACUUGCCUGAUACUUCACUCGCCAAUUCAUCCGCUAAGAUUGAAAGUAAAGAAGAGGAAUGCUCGGAUCCAAUUUCCUCAAAUGAUGGUGAAUCAGGUUGCAAUUGAACAGAUACCCCUAGGAUACCUGCUUGUACAUAUAUAAAUCAUAUCUUCUUUUGGUAGUCAAUAAAAUCAGUGCUAAUUAUAUGAAGUUUGGAUACAGGGAAACGCAAGUGUUUAACGCAAACAUCCGAGUUUCAAGAGAGUUUGACAGGUUCUUCUAAUGAUUCUCAAGUUUAUAAUAAGAAACAAAAAGUGUUAUCAGGUCCUACUGAAGUUGCAACGGAUGCCAAAACUAGUUUAGCUGAGGAUGACAGGUCUAGUACCAAAUUAGCAGAUAUGGACAUUAUUGAAAUCGAUAAAGACGAUUUCGGUUCAUCCACCAAACAUGUUGGCAGUACAUCAUCUAGCCAUGAUUCAAACAAGGUAGCUGUUGUCUCAUUGUUAACGUUAAUGACUUCAGAUCAGGAUGGCGAUAGUAUUAUUAGAACUUUAGUAGUUGCUUAACACUCUAUGUUGUGAUGAUGCAGGCUCCUGUAUUUGUAGGUUCUCAGGCAAAAGGGGUAGUAAGUAGCAACGAGUGGAAACCCCUUGAAAAAGACUUAUAUUUAAAGGGCAUAGAAAUUUUUGGAAGAAACAGGUAUAUAGACUUUCUAGAAAAUAUAUAAUAUGUCAACUGUAUCCUAUCUAUAGAAUUACCCAGUAGGCUAUGUUUAAAUUAGAACUUUCAAACUCUAGUGUUGUUGAUAAAAAAAAUAUUGAACUUGUGUUACUGCCAUACCUGAAGGAUGAAACACUUUUAAACAAAAACUAAGUUGACUAAUACACAUGUGCGUGCUUUAUAGAUCUGCAAUAAAUACUCAGUUUCCACCCGACCCAUGAUAUUUAUAUUAGGUUGAAUUUAUAUUUAUAAAAUUGAAAGUUUUUAAUUUAUUUUCUGUAUAAGGAGUAUCGUGCUGUAGCUUACGAUUUUGAGGUUUCGCAUGCCUUACAGUUGCCUAAUAGCAAGGAAUUUACUUCCUGGCCUAAAGACUUGCUCAGAGGUAUCUGCUUACAUGAAUCAUGAUGCAGCAGCAAUGUCUCACGGAUCUACUGCCCUAUCAAAUUCCUUUUUCGAUGGUGAUGGGAAUGUUGAUGCAAAAAAACUGGUAUAUGUUUCUGGCUUUCAGUUCCAUGUUUUCCUUGCACAUCUAAAACUAAUAAUAGGAAGAAAGCAAAUGGGAAGACCACAUCUGAUAUUCCUCUUAAGCUAGAGAGUAUUUCCUGUGUUUUUCAGUUUCCCAUUAUAUUAUCCUCUGAUUGAAGUCAACUUGUACAUAAAUGAAGUCAAAUACAGUUGUUCUGCUGAUAUCUGGCAAGUACAAAUCUGAGAUUUUAAAACAAUAGUAAUGGUUACGAAGAGAGUGUCUGAGCAUAAGGAUGGAGUAUUAUCGCAGUACUGCACAAUUGCUAUAUAUAUAAUUAUAUAUGUCUACCGAUUAAGUAUUGCAACUUGUGCCAGAAUGAAAAACAGUAUUGUCAGAAGAAGAGUGAGCAAUAGAAUAUACUCCCUCUGUCCCAUUUUAACUGAUGUUUGACUUUUUAACACGUAUAUUGAGGUGUAAAAAAACAAUAUCUACACUCAAUAAAAAAUUUCAAUUCUUAUAUCAACUAAAAGUUUGGACUCUAAACUUUUAUUUGAUAUAAAUUUUAUAAAAAAUAAUCAUGUUUAAAUGUAAUUUUUUUAAUAUCUUAAAAUACGUGUAAAAAAGUCAAAAGCAGUUAAAAUGGGACGGAGGGAGUAAUAUUCUUCCCCUGGGCUGCACCACAAAAAUUUGCGCGAAUUAUUUUUAUUAAGAAAAAUAGUCUGAAAUUAUCAACAGAGGUUUACUCAUUCAUCCAAUGAAUAUACUUAAUAGCUGUUACAAGUAUAGCAAUAUAUUUGAGUUAGAUUCAAGAAUUUUGAAGUAGCACCAAUGUAGCUUGACUGGAUAAGAGACAAAAGACAAGUAUAUUCAUGUUUCCAUCCAUUCAAUAUGCAGCAUCAAACUUGGUGCCCUGCAAACCAAAUACAUUCAUGAUAAAAGAAAUUGUUCUGCCUAAUAUAUUGUGCAUCACAGGAACAAGGUCUUCAGGCAAGGUCGCGUUUAUUUCGUAGAAGGGGCAGAACACGGAAGCUCAAAUACUCUUGGAAGUCUGCUGGCCAUCCAUCAUUUUGGAGAAGGAUUGCAGAUGGAAAAAAUCAGUCUUGUAAACAGUAUAUACCAUGUGGAUGCGACUCUAUAUGUGGAAAACAGUGCCCCUGUCAUCAAAAUGGAACUUGCUGUGAAAAAUAUUGUGGGUAAGUCAAGUUUAAGUGGAAAAAUAAUUUUGAGUGAUCAACUUUGUUGACCAAGAGCCUCGAAAGAUGGGUGUAGUUUUAGAAAACAGACAAGCAAUACUUAUAUAAUUAUAUUAUAUAUCUAUUUUUCUGUACUAGAUAAUCUGAAACAGACUAAAUCCUAUUGCCUAAUAAUAAAUAUUAAAAUUUUGAAAUCUUUAGGUGCUCCAAGAGCUGCAAAAAUAGGUUCAGAGGAUGUCACUGUGCAAAAAGUCAGUGUAGAAGUCGGCAGUGUCCAUGUUUUGCUGCUGGACGUGAAUGUGACCCUGAUGUUUGCCGUAAUUGCUGGGUUAGGUAAUCAGUCUCUUGCUCAUCUACCUCUGAUUUUGAAACCUUCACUUGGUAAUUGAUAUAGUCAUAUAGAUCUGUAUUGAUCUUGAAUAAUAGUUUUGUGCAUAUGCGAUGUUCAUAUUUAUAUAAGGAAACCUAUAUUUGGAAAUUACAGGCAGCCUAUCUGAUUCUCUUUCAGAACUAACCACUUCAAAUAACAUCAUUUAUAAAUUCUAUCAUGGAAUGAUUAAAUUACUACUUUUUCAGUUGUGGUGAUGGCUCAUUAGGUGAGCCACCUCGACGAGGAGAUGGCCAUUGUGGAAAUAUGAGACUCCUCCUUAGACAGCAGCAAAGGGUAACUAUUUAUAUUAAAUUCAACAUGAAUAAGCAUUGGACUUGGACAAAGCUUGUACUUAUUAAUGUUCUCUUCUUUUCCUAUUAGAUCCUCUUGGCAAAAUCUGAUGUUGCUGGAUGGGGAGCCUUUCUGAAGGUAGGAAAGCACAAAUGACUUGUCGUCUCUCGUAAUUGUUUAACUUCUCAAUAUUUUCAAAUGUAUAACUUAUCCACUUGGUUUCAGAAUCCCGUCAACAAGAAUGACUAUCUUGGAGAAUAUACUGGUGAAUUGAUCUCACACCGAGAAGCCGAUAAGCGAGGGAAGAUCUAUGACCGUGCUAACUCUUCGUUCCUUUUUGAUUUGAAUGAACAGGCAAGUGACCACUGCUAAAUAUUGUGUAUCGUGCAUAGUAGUAUAAUUUAACUUAGAAACCAAUUGUUUGAACAAUAUGUGUCAUCACGGAACUUGUGGUACAUAAAUUAAAGAGAGUGGUUGAAUUAAUUUUGAUGCCAUCUCAAAUGCAGCAUUUUUCAUCCUACACUAUUUUUCUCCUGAUUGCGUUCUAUAGCCUCGGUUAAAAACUUAAAAUAGUUAAUUGAAUCCACCGACUUCCCAAGUUCCAGCAUUUUCACAAUUGCAGAAACUUGCAUUAUAGUAAUAAAAGACUGAAAGUAAUGAAACUCUAAUUUUUGUACUGUAGAAUUCGGAAUACCAAUGCAUCUGUUUUUUUUUUGUUUUUUUUUUGGUGCAGUAUGUCCUUGAUGCUUACCGCAAAGGAGACAAGCUGAAAUUCGCAAAUCACUCGUCAAAUCCCAACUGCUAUGCAAAGGUAUUCAACUUAAUAAAUUAGCAUGCCCAAGUAUUUUUGUAUUUGUUAUGAUAAAGCUGAUUACAGAGAGUCCAUCUUCAGGUUAUGCUCGUGGCAGGUGAUCAUCGAGUUGGCAUUUUUGCCAAUGAGCGUAUUGAAGCGAGCGAAGAGCUAUUCUAUGAUUAUCGUUAUGGACCUGAUCAAGCACCGGAAUGGGCUCGUAGACCUGAGGGUUGGAAGGGAGAUGAUGCGUCAAUUCCUCAAGGUCGGGCCAAGAAACACCAGUCUCAUUGAUUUUUUACCAGUUCUGGCGGCACAGUUGUGGAAAUUGCAAGAUUCAUGUCCCCCUCGGAGUGGAUAUAUAUAUACACAAUAAGUAUACAAAUAUAUCGUGUUAUAGCUAAUUCAUUUCAGCUGUGAUGUAGAAAUGAUGAUUCCUUUUUCCUUUCCCCUUUUUAAGGAUCUUGUGAAAUCAAAUUUCUGGUAUGUUUCUUACAGAAUAAGUUCUAGAACAGCUGUCUUUGAUGAUACACAUGUAGCAGCAGCAAUAAGAUAGCAGAAGUUUAUUUUUAAAAGUAAUUUUUGAAGAUGGCAAAAGUUUUUGAUGCGCGCUUUCUAUCUCUCCGAUGAUUUAUGCAAAUAUGUAGCUUGAAGAUGCUUAAAAGUUACUGCUGGUUGUAUGAGUGACUUAUAAGUACUAUUCAUGUAUUAACAAUUAAAAUUAACAAUGCUAUUAAUAUUUAAACCAAGACAAUGAAAAGUUAUCGUUACAUGAUAGAAUUAGAUUUUAUUUAAAUUUCAUACUGGUAAGUGGUAAGGUACAAAUAGAUAUGCCGCUCAUCAUCUUUCUCUGUUUUCUCUCUUAAGAGUUCGAAAUCACUAAUUUGAAGUGGUUUUUUAGAUGGUCGAGUUUUAUCUUUUUUGCAUUUUAGUUGCGAGAAUUUAUAAAUUGAUGGGCAUACAUUAUCUUUAUAUCUUAAAAAACAUUUUUAUAUAUCAUUUUUUAAGGAUCACCUUUUUGAGAAAAAGCUAAUAUUUUUCCUUAAAGAAAAUAGUCUGUUUAUCUUUUUGAUGAAUUAAAAGAUAUAUGAGCAGCUAAUUAAUUUAGGGGUAAAAGAGAUUAUAUAAAACUGAACAUACUUUAAGAAGAAUUAAAACAAAUAAAAAAAUUCAACCAAUUCACUACAAAUAAACAUGUAUUAACAUAUUUAACAUAUUAGUAAAAGAUAUAAUUAGCACUUGAAGUUGAUGUCAUGAUAAAAGAUAAUAUUGCUGGUGUAAAUUAGAAGCAAUAUUUGCAGAUUCUUUGUUAGACCGAUUCUUUCUGUUGCAUCAUUUCCGUAGAAAAUGACUCCUCCAACCAACACAUCCACACACAUGUGAUAUAAGAAUUAGUCAAACACUUCAAAUUAAGAUUCUAAUACAUAUAAGUUUAAGCUUCACAUUUGCACACAUAUUAGGAGCAGCUUCCUGGUUUCUUUAUUUUUUCAGGUCGAUCACAUAUGUUGUACAAUCAUGCUUCAUUAUCUUUAACAAUUGUUUUACAAUGUGGUAUUGUAUCAAUGCUAUAUGCCUAUUUAUUGUUCUGUUUCUUGUAAAUAAUAUUCAAGAAUCAUUGGUUCUGAGAUUAUUUGACUGAUUGCAGGGGUUUGAUUAAGGUGCACAUAAUCUAGAACGAACUCGAGUUCGAAGAAGAAACGUAGUAUGGGGGGAGGACCGAGGAUUGUUCAUGAAAAAUUAAGGGGACCUAAUCUGGUGAAGGAAAUUGCAGUGGCAGCUACCAUGGGAUUAGUCAUAGCUUCUUUCUGGAAAUAUAAACACUGGGAAAUGAAGAAUACUAGACGACAAUUCUACGACAUGCUUGAUAGAGGUGAAGUUAGUGUGGUUAUUGAUGAGUAAUCUUGUAGCUAGUUCUUGUUAAUUGUGCAUGUAUGCUACUAAAUGCUGGUCAUAUAUGUACAUGAAAUAAGAUUGCAGGUUUGGUUUUGGCCUUUUGAUUGUGAUUCGUUUGACAAACUCUUGAAUAAUAGUAAUAUUUUGUUGGAGUUUCUGAUUCAUUUGCAUGUCCUCUCACAACAUUCAUUAAUUCAUCUUUCAGUUAGUAUAGUAAUGCCUUAGCUACUGGUGGUUUAUUUUGUUUUGCAUAAUUAUUGUGUCCUCAGUAUAGCAUGCAUGGAUCCUGAAUUUCAAUCAGUUUCUGCAUAUGUACCCUGACUCAUUAUUUUGUACCCGUGUCGGACACUCGACACUCAGACAUGAGUAUGGAUACUGUGACAGUUAUUUCAAACAAAAAACAUGUAAAAUUUUAAAAUAUUGCCCGAAUCCGACACGGGAGACGUAUCUGGUGUAACAUAGGUUUCAGCUGCAAACUCUGCCUAUCUGAGCUGGACUCACUCUCAAAUCCACAUCUAUUAAGCAAUUAUUUUUUUCUGUAUAUACUUUAAUUGAAUCCUCCUAAAACAUGGAUCUAUUUGUCAUCCACAGGCACAAACUGCACUUAUCUCUUCCGCUUGGACAUCACUUAACUAAGAUAUAAUUAAAUUCGACUAAAAAAAUUAGUAAGAAAAUACGGAUAAUUAGGUGCUGUAAGUACUAUGUGAGCAAGUAUGUGUAACUAUUUAAGUAAUCAAGUACUUAUAAUUACAUCACAUAAUGUUAUGACAGAAGUUCAUAUAAGAAAGUUGUCACCCGAAAUAUUCCAA
rnacentral:lncRNA from 1 species